rnacentral:rRNA from 1 species
UACGUAGGGUGCAAGCGUUUAAUCGGAAUUACUGGGCGUAAAGCGUGCGCAGGCGGUGAUGUAAGACAGAUGUGAAAUCCCCGGGCUCACCUGGGAACUGCAUUUGUGACUGCAUCGCUGGAGUACGGCAGAGGGGGAUGGAAUUCCGCGUGUAGCAGUGAAAUGCGUAGAGAUGUGGAGGAACACCGAUGGCGAAGGCAGCCCCCUGGGUCAACACUGACGCCUCAUGCACGAAAGCGGUGGGAGCAAACAGG